rnacentral:rRNA from 1 species
GACGAACGCUGGCGGCGUGCUUAACACAUGCAAGUCGAACGGAAAGGCCCUGCUUUUGUGGUGUGCUCGAGUGGCGAACGGGUGAGUAACACGUGAGUAACCUGCCCUUGACUUUGGUAUAACUUCAGGAAACUGGGGCUAAUACCGGAUAGGAGCUCCUGCUGCAUGGUGGGGGUUGGAAAGUUUCGGCGGUUGGGGAUGGACUCGCGGCUUAUCAGCUUGUUGGUGGGGUAGUGGCUUACCAAGGCUUUGACGGGUAGCCGGCCUGAGAGGGUGACCGGCCACAUUGGGACUGAGAUACGGCCCAGACUCCUACGGGAGGCAGCAGUGGGGAAUAUUGCACAAUGGGCGGAAGCCUGAUGCAGCAACGCCGCGUGCGGGAUGACGGCCUUCGGGUUGUAAACCGCUUUCGCCUGUGACGAAGCGUGAGUGGCGGUAAUGGGUAAAGAAGCAACGGCUAACUACGUG